rnacentral:rRNA from 1 species
GUGGGGAAUCUUGCGCAAUGGGCGAAAGCCUGACGCAGCCAUGCCGCGUGGAUGAUGAAGGUCUUAGGAUUGUAAAAUCCUUUCACCGGUGAAGAUAAUGACUGUAGCCGGAGAAGAAGCCCCGGCUAACUUCGUGCCAGCAGCCGCGGUAAUACGAAGGGGGCUAGCGUUGCUCGGAUUUACUGGGCGUAAAGGGCGCGUAGGCGGACAUUUAAGUCAGGGGUGAAAUCCCGGGGCUCAACCUCGGAACUGCCUUUGAUACUGGGUGUCUUGAGUAUGAGAGAGGUGUGUGGAACUCCGAGUGUAGAGGUGAAAUUCGUAGAUAUUCGGAAGAACACCAGUGGCGAAGGCGACACACUGGCUCAUUACUGACGCUGAGGUGCGAAAGCCGGGGGAGCGAACGGGAUUAGAUACCCUAGUAGUCC